rnacentral:lncRNA from 10 species
CCUGACCCCGGGGUCAGAAGCUGAGGACUCAGAUGUUGACUUUUAGGGCGCUGACACAGUGGUCGAUCCGCUCUCCUCUGGAAGGCGGUCACUCUUUGCAGACCUGAAAAUUCUUUCCUCAGCGUGGAGGUUCUCAUCUUUGUCCUGUGGUGGGAAAAACAUCUGGUUCUUGGAACACUAAGAAGACCUCCAGAAUCAUGUAGGUGAUUACGUCUACUAUAAAUCUUGCAUUUCCAAACAAGUUCUCUAUCUACUUUUCAUCAAUGUGUUCGUGAAGCUUCAGGGUAAAUGAAAUAAGGCAGUCACUAAAUAGUGAAAAAAGUCACCUAUUUACUCAUGUUCAGAUGACUCCCGGGUUUCAGAAUCAAAGAAUUGGACAGAGAAGCACA